rnacentral:lncRNA from 1 species
GGGGUGCAGGGUUAGGGCUUACCCCGGGCAGUCCUGGAGGGUCGGGGCACUAUGGGUACCACUUUCUUGAAACGGAGGCUUUCAAAUUUAAACAAAGCCAUGUCUGUGACCGUGGUUUGGAGUUAUCUAUUAGAGUCUGGUGGGCUCAUUACAGGGUACAAAACUGGAGGCAAUGUGCCCCUCCCACCAAGAAAUGGACAAUCUUCUAUUAGUGAAGCAUGGAGUCUCUCCCCACUUUGGGACACCAUCAUGCUUAGAGGGCCAUUUUCUCUUAUUCUUGCUAAUGGUGAAGUACUUAAAAACAAAACCAACCAGUCAAACAGACCCUUAAGGCAUUAAAGAAGAAUGGCUUGAGAUGACACCCUUUGAACUCUGGGAAGAUGAGUGAGACCAUCUUGAGACUGGGCUAUAAGGGACUGUUACUGCCACAGCCUGUUGAGAAGAUCACAGAGCUCUGAGGAAGAACGAAUCUGGCAGUAAAAUAAAGAUGAAGGUUGCAGCAGCCUCAAAGAUCUCUUAGAUCCACACCUAAUCCUCAGAAACUUGUUCUGGGGAAGGAGAGCUUGGACAAGAGAGAGAAGGAUCCAUCAGAUCCAUCGGAACUUUAGCCUUAACGUGGGAAGUUUUAGUUGGUUUUAGUUUCAUUACAAUCAGAAAGACCUAAAUAGAUCUAUCACCACUGAAGCUAAAAUGAUUUAAAUAAAUCUGUUAGGGAAGAACAGAGAGGAGUAAUGGCCUGAAACUUUGCUUAAAACUGAAAACAAAGUAACAUGAAAUAAAAAUAGAAAGGAAGGAAAGGAGGACAGGGUGUGUGUGUGGGGGGG